AGCUUUGCACAGUGGCAGUAUCAUAACCAAUGAAGUGAAUCUGAGGUGUGUUAUUGCUACUUGAAAUCCGCUCCUCUCCCCCUUCCUGGUGGUAGAUGGUACAGUACUACUGUAGCAGCAAGAAACUGUUACCAUCUCGCCUCUUUUUGUUACACUCACCAGU
rnacentral:snRNA from 1 species